UUUAUGGAGAGUUUGAUCCUGGCUCAGGAUGAACGCUGGCGGCGUGCCUAAUACAUGCAAGUCGAGCGAACAGACAAGGAGCUUGCUCCUUUGACGUUAGCGGCGGACGGGUGAGUAACACGUGGGUAACCUACCUAUAAGACUGGGAUAACUUCGGGAAACCGGAGCUAAUACCGGAUAAUAUUUCGAACCGCAUGGUUCGAUAGUGAAAGAUGGUUUUGCUAUCACUUAUAGAUGGACCCGCGCCGUAUUAGCUAGUUGGUAAGGUAACGGCUUACCAAGGCGACGAUACGUAGCCGACCUGAGAGGGUGAUCGGCCACACUGGAACUGAGACACGGUCCAGACUCCUACGGGAGGCAGCAGUAGGGAAUCUUCCGCAAUGGGCGAAAGCCUGACGGAGCAACGCCGCGUGAGUGAUGAAGGUCUUCGGAUCGUAAAACUCUGUUAUUAGGGAAGAACAUACGUGUAAGUAACUGUGCACGUCUUGACGGUACCUAAUCAGAAAGCCACGGCUAACUACGUGCCAGCAGCCGCGGUAAUACGUAGGUGGCAAGCGUUAUCCGGAAUUAUUGGGCGUAAAGCGCGCGUAGGCGGUUUUUUAAGUCUGAUGUGAAAGCCCACGGCUCAACCGUGGAGGGUCAUUGGAAACUGGAAAACUUGAGUGCAGAAGAGGAAAGUGGAAUUCCAUGUGUAGCGGUGAAAUGCGCAGAGAUAUGGAGGAACACCAGUGGCGAAGGCGACUUUCUGGUCUGUAACUGACGCUGAUGUGCGAAAGCGUGGGGAUCAAACAGGAUUAGAUACCCUGGUAGUCCACGCCGUAAACGAUGAGUGCUAAGUGUUAGGGGGUUUCCGCCCCUUAGUGCUGCAGCUAACGCAUUAAGCACUCCGCCUGGGGAGUACGACCGCAAGGUUGAAACUCAAAGGAAUUGACGGGGACCCGCACAAGCGGUGGAGCAUGUGGUUUAAUUCGAAGCAACGCGAAGAACCUUACCAAAUCUUGACAUCCUUUGACAACUCUAGAGAUAGAGCUUUCCCCUUCGGGGGACAAAGUGACAGGUGGUGCAUGGUUGUCGUCAGCUCGUGUCGUGAGAUGUUGGGUUAAGUCCCGCAACGAGCGCAACCCUUAAGCUUAGUUGCCAUCAUUAAGUUGGGCACUCUAAGUUGACUGCCGGUGACAAACCGGAGGAAGGUGGGGAUGACGUCAAAUCAUCAUGCCCCUUAUGAUUUGGGCUACACACGUGCUACAAUGGACAAUACAAAGGGCAGCGAAACCGCGAGGUCAAGCAAAUCCCAUAAAGUUGUUCUCAGUUCGGAUUGUAGUCUGCAACUCGACUACAUGAAGCUGGAAUCGCUAGUAAUCGUAGAUCAGCAUGCUACGGUGAAUACGUUCCCGGGUCUUGUACACACCGCCCGUCACACCACGAGAGUUUGUAACACCCGAAGCCGGUGGAGUAACCAUUUGGAGCUAGCCGUCGAAGGUGGGACAAAUGAUUGGGGUGAAGUCGUAACAAGGUAGCCGUAUCGGAAGGUGCGGCUGGAUCACCUCCUUUCU
rnacentral:rRNA from 2 species